AAGAAGGCUCUUUUCAGAGCCAAACACAUUUUCCAAAAAGAAUCUG
rnacentral:ncRNA from 1 species